UUAUGAUAUUUAUAUAUAUAAUAUAACUACAAAUAAUAUUAGCAAAUAUUCCUUAUUAGCUUGUGAGUUGUGACAAUCCAUUUAACUUUUAACUUACUUCUUGCUCACUUAUGAACUUCCUUUGAAUUUGCCGUCACUGCCUUCUUCUUUAUGUACUAUAUAUAUUAUAUACCUUAAUCAAGAAUUCAACAAGUUCUAUCGAAAUUAUUUAACGUAUACCAUAGGAGGAAAAGUAAGCCGUUCAAACUUUAUUUUUCAGACACAGAUUAAAUGGAUGAAAAUUUGAUGAAUACAAGCAUGAUGCAAGGAACUUUGAUGGUACAAACACCAUUGAAUGGAAAGAGCACAUGAAGAUAUUUUUUCAAUCGGUGGACUUCAAACGUUGGUUAAUCAUCAAGAAUGGACCAAAGAUUCCAAAAAAGAUAGUAGGUGGUGUAGAAAUAGAAAAAUCUGAAGAUGAAUUUGACGAGGAAGACAUGAAUGAUAUGGGACAAGAUUCAAGAGCAAAAUAUAUGUUAUAUCAUGCUGUGAAUCCGGAGACAUUUAAGAGAAUCUCAAAUUUCAAAACAGCCAAAGAAAUGUGGGAUGAAAUUCACAGGGAAGUAGAAAAUGUUGAAAUGAAGUCAGCGAUUCCUCCCCAAUUAUAAUCAGCACGACUCUCCAAUAGAUGAUUUUCUACAGGAUACAACGGCCUUUUGGUGGAUUUUGAGGGAUAGGAACAAUGACAUCUUCCAUCAAGAUGAUCUAUGGAGUAAGGAGAAAAUUGUUCACUUGGCUAAACAUGCUGCUCGAGAUUUCUCCAAUGUCGUUACCACACAAAAAUAUAUUAUUCCUCUUUGCAAUAUAACUGUGAACCACCUCCAAUGAAUGUCUGUAAAGUGAACUGCAAUGCAAGUGUUUUUAAAAAUGAGCAAUUAGCCGGCUUUAGGUGUAUUAUUAGAGACACCAUGGGAAUUUGGAUAAAAGGUUGUUCUACCAGUAUAUCUCUUUUUAGUGUUCUCUGCUGUGAGCUUCAUGCUAUUUGGAGAGGGCUUGUUAUGGCUUGGGAUUGCAAGUGCAAAGAAGUCAUAUGUGAAACUGAUAAUCUUGAUGCGUUUCUUCUUGUUUUGAAUGACUCUUAUCUGCUUGACAGGAAUUAAAGAGACAUUCCAGCGCAAUUGGACAGUUACUUUAGUGCUUAUCCAGCGCAUAACAAACAGAGCGGCUGAUUUAAUGACUAAGACUGCUGCUUUAAACAAGCAGGUGUACUUGGAAUAGUUGCUGUCCCUUAAUAAUUUAGACAUUAUUAUUAGAGAAGAGUAUUACUCUUUCUUUUAGGUCAUUUUUCUUUGUGUUAUGUUCCAUUGCCAAAAAAAACCAACUUUUAUUACUUAAAAUGUAUAUACCAAAUUGUAAUCAUACAUUUAA